rnacentral:lncRNA from 1 species
CAAAGAUGCUAUAGGAUGAUGAAGGCUGACUGAGUUAUGGAGCUGCAGGCUAGAAAAUGACAAAGGCCACUAGCAGACCACCAGCAUCUAGGAAGAGGCAAUGAAGGAUUUCCCUACAUUUUUCAGAGAGAGCAUGGUCCUCCGUAAAACUUGAUUUUGGACAUCUAGCCUCCAGAACUAUGAAACAAUGAAACAAUAAAUAUUUGCUGUUUUAAGCUAUCCAAUUUGUAAUAUCUUGUUACAGGAGCCCUUGAAGACUCAUUCCUAUGGGAAGCCAUGAUGUAUGAGGAAUUCUUCCUUCACAGAGGACAGUUCAUUUUUGUAAAGGCAAAUAAUCUCUGAGAAGAAGCCGAUCAAUGACAUGGAUGAGAACUAAACCUGAGCUCCAGUAACAAGCUCCAGCCUCUGAAGGGUUAGAGCCACAAGGACAUCAGAAAGAGGAUCAGGGCAGGAAUUCAGGGACUCCUAGCCCUUCAAAGACUUGAGUAUCCUACAGCUGCUAAAAAUACUGAAGAUCUGAAGUGCAGCAAAAACAGGAGGCAGUUCUACUGACAACUUUUCAAAGAGGGAAAGAAAAUCUCGCUACCUGCUUAUGAACGAUGGUCUAUAUCUCCUAAGAAAAUCUCCACUUAUAUUCAAUUUUGCUCAAGACAUUUGCCAGUGGAGACCAACCACCAUGCUGAGUCAAAGCCGACAUUAGUCCUCACAAAGAAAGUACGCAGAGAGGAACUGGGGACUUCUAACCAAGAGCCAGCAUCAACCACUGGCCUUACUUUUAGAUUUUGAAACUGCAGAAGAAGGGAAUGUGGAUCUAUAUCUCUUGAGAAUCAGAAUGCAGUGAACAAAAGCAGAAAUGAAGAUCAAGAGUGUCAACGUAUAAUUGGAAAUGUAGAUGGAACUAAUUCUACAUCUCAUGAAUCUGUGGUUUAAUUGAACGAUAAUUUCAUUUCCAUUCAAGAUUUUAUACACCUUCCUAAAUUUUGCUGUAAACUCUACAUGUUCUUUUUAAAUUUUAAGCAUUAGAGACCUACUUUUAUACAUCUGAUUUUGUCUCUAAAAUAAUUCUCAGAUCUGAAGGCGCG